AAAAACACAGGUCUCUGCGAAGUCGUCAAAGACGACGUAUAGAGACUGACGCUUGCCCGCUGUUGGAACGUUAAGGUGACUGGUUAGUCCGCAAGGCGAGGCUGGGAGCCGAAGCGCCAAUGAAGGGCGGCCGUAACUAUGACGGUCCUAAGGUAGCGAAAUUCCUUGUCGGGUAAGUUCCGACCCGCACGAAUAGCGUAACGACAGCUGUACUGUCUCCACGAGGGACUCGGCGAAAUUGUAGCUGUGGUGAAGAUGCCACAUACCCGCACCAAGACGGAAAGACCCCGUGAACCUUUACUGUAACCUAAUACUGGCUCUAGGUUCGCCAUGUGUAGCAUAGGUGGGAGACGUUUAUGUCAGGGGCGCCAGCCUCUGAAUAGUCUUCAGUGAAAUACCACUCUUGGCGUAUUUGGAGUCUAACCUGCGACCGUAAUCCGGCGUGGGAACAGUGUUAGGCGGGCAGUUUGACUGGGGCGGUCGUCCUCCAAAACAGUAACGGAGGAGUGCAAAGGUACCCUCAAUGCGGUUGGCAAUCGC
rnacentral:rRNA from 1 species